rfam:Myotis lucifugus cont2.60646, whole genome shotgun sequence.
CUUCAGUGAACAUUCAACGCUGUCGGUGAGUUUGGAAUUAAAGUCAAAACCAUCGACCGUUGAUUGUACCCUAUGG